rnacentral:tRNA from 1 species
GGAUGUGGCUUAGUGGUAAAGUAAAGUGCUUGCCUGGAAAGCAUGAGGCCCUGGUUUCAAAUCCCCAAGCACCA